UACGGAGGGGACUAGCGUUGUUCGGAAUUACUGGGCGUAAAGCGCACGUAGGCGGAUUUGUAAGUCAGGGGUGAAAUCCCGGGGCUCAACCUCGGAACUGCCUUUGAUACUGCAAAUCUCGAGUCCGGAGGAGGUGAGUGGAAUUCCUAGUGUAGAGGUGAAAUUCGUAGAUAUUAGGAAGAACACCAGUGGCGAAGGCGGCUCACUGGGCCGAUACUGACGCUGAGGAGCGAAAGCGUGGGGAGCAAACAGG
rnacentral:rRNA from 1 species